AGUCUCCAGGCGGCGGUGCUCAGUGGUCGGUUACUGGUGGGAGAAUUAAACAUCACAAUGCCCAGUGCCUGCUAGAUGAGAACUGACUCCAGCAAUGCCAGUCACGCUCUGCUUACGCCUACAUCUGCACAGUUCUAGGUGGCUGUUCCAUCCCCUCCCCACCCUGGAGUACCCAUGGUGAACCUCAGAUCCUAAGCGUGACCGUGGUGUUUGGGUGCCAUUUCCAGGCUGCUGCUUGGAAGGUCCUUUUCGAAGGGGGAAGGUACUGGAUGGUCUUGAAUUCAUUUUGGAUAUUACAGGGUCCCCUCCCCCCUUCCUCUUGGGGAAGUUGGUCCAGUAGGUCAUGAUGUCCUGGGGCUAUGGAGCGUGAGAAAUAGUUGAUAUUGCCGACUGCCAUUGUAAGACCCCCAAAGCUGGGCCUCUGCUCAAGUCCUGGGAUGAGCUAGCCAGCACCCCAAUGACUCGAGAGAAAACCACACCUGAUGCAAACUGCAAGAGGUUUUAUUAUCAGCUAGCUGAGGACGAACUCCUUGUGCUUCGCAGGGCAGGGGAGUUCGACCGAGCAGUAACAGUAGGGGGCUUUCAACAGCUAGCUGAAGAAUUGGGAGGAGUUGGGCUACAGCUCUUCUCUGCCAGGUAUCCUUGGUAAAAUUACAAUUAUCGCAUCUCUGGUUGAAAAGUAUAGAAACAAAAAGGCUUUUUGCUGGCUAUAGAGAACAAAGAGCUUCUUUCUGGCUGUAUUUUUAGAGAUCUGGGAAAACAAGCUUGGGGAUCGUCCAGGGGCUUUACCUUCCAGGGAGAAACGCUCUAAGUUGGGGUCUUACACCAUCAGCAGUAGUUGAUAUUGGGUACCAUCAGUGCCCACUUUAAGCCAGGAGCCAUCAGCUCUGGCUUUUAUUGCUUGUUACCAUCAGCAGAGGCUGAUAUUAGGUGCCAUCAGUGACUAGCUGUUCUGUUGGGCGUUAACAGCACCCAUCUCAGGUCAGAAGCCAUCAGUUCUGGGUUGUGUGCAUUUCAUGUGUGUCUCUCAAGAUGGGACAAAGUGAAUCUACAGACAGAGAGUUACUUACAGAUGUUAUUAAGCAUACUGUUAAAGAAAAAGGCAUUGAAGUUAACACUAGCCAGCUGACUGACUUCAGUUUGUACAAACUUAGUCCAGCUAGUCCUUGUUUUCCAGGAAAAAGAACUCCAGAGGUAGAUAGGUAGAUACAUGGGAGAAAGGAUUAGAUAUUUAAAACUGUUUUUCAGAGACUGGAGGCGUGCCCCUUACAGCGUUUGCUAUUUGGAAUGUGCUUAGGACGGCAUUGGCAGACGGCAAAAAAGCCAUAUGUCCUCAGGAGACAGUAGGUUUACCUCCUUGUGAGGGUACUCCAUCACUGCAGUCUCCCUCAGGAUCUAAGGACAAUGUUUAUUUCUCAACAGAAAAGUCUGAGAAAAGUAUCUCAGGAGAGGUUAGUUAUGAAUCAGAAGAGGAAAAAUCAACCUCAGAGGAGGAGUCUGACUCAGAAAAGAUGAUCAGUGAUCGGCCCAACUUGGGGUCCACCUCAUGAGCAGGUACCAAACACUGACACUAUUACUGAUGUUGUGCUCUCAGACAGGAGCCUAGCAUGGCUGGCAUCUGGGUUUUUGAAGGUUGCAAUAUAUCUGUCUAAGCCCUUCUAGCUUUUACAGUCUCUGUUGAGACGUCAGGUGCAACUCUGAUAGGUCUGCCUUUGUAUGUUACCUGGCCCCCUUUACUUACUGCUUUUAAUAUUGUUUCUUUGUUCUGUAGAUUUUUAUGUUUUGAUUAUUAUGUGACAGGAGGAUUUUUUUCUGGUCCAGCCUAAUUGGUGUUCUCUAAGAUUCUUGUAUAGGUCUAUAGAAAUCUCUUUAGGUUGGGACUUUUCUUUCUUUCUUUUUUCUGUGAUUUAGUUGAAAAUAUUUUCUGGGCCUUGGAGCUCGGACUCUUCUUCUAUUUCAAUUAUUCUUAUGUUAGGACUUGUCACGGUAUCCCAAGUUUCCUGGAUGUUUUGUGUCAGAAUGUUUUAGAUUUAACAUUAUUUUCUCACUGAUGUAUCAGUUUGUCCUGUUAUAUCUUGCAUGCCUGAGAUUCUCCCAUCUCCUGAGUUACCUUGUUGAUGCUUGUAUUUGUUGUUCUUUUCCCUAGAUUUUCCAUCUCUAGGAUUUCCUCUUUAUUGCUUCUCUUUUCACUUUCAGGUCUUGCACAGUUUUAUGAAGGAAACACUUCACCUGUUUAAUUGUAUUUUCCUGUAUGUCUUUAAGGGAUUCAUUUGUUUCCACUUUAAAGACCUCUACCUGUUUGAUUGUAUUUUCUUGUAUUUCUUUAAGGGAUUUGUUCAUUUGCUCUUUAAAGGCCUCUGUCAUCUUUAUAAGAUUGGAUUUAAGGUCAUUUUCUUGUGCUUGAGUUGUGUUAGGAUAUCCAGGGCUUGCUGUAGGAGGGCAUGUGUGCUCUGAAAGUGUCAUAUUGCCCUGGUUUUUGUUGAUUUUUUUUUGAGGGCCUUUAGCCAUCUGGAUGGCUUUGGUCCCUGGAUGCUCCUGUUGUAAUAGAUAUUGGGAGGGAGGUUAACCUUGAUGCUGCUGAUUUGCCAGGCCCGUGGGUUGUAUGGUUCCAUAUCUGCAGGUCUGUUUGGUUCAGGAUCUGUAGUUCCCACAAAGGUGGCAGAGGUGGAUGGAGAGUGGAGGUCCUCCUGUGCCAUCAGGCUGCUCAGGGCAGCUCGGCUGGCUCCAGAGGUCUCAGCAAGCAGGGAAGGAAAGUGGGGGAAGGGAAGCUUCCCUGUAUGGCUUAGGAUCCACAGGCCUGAUGAAGGUGGGUGGAGAAUGGAGGCCCUCCUGGGCUAGCAGGCUGCUCAGGGCAACUUGGCGGGCUCCAGAGCAGGUUAAUAUUUCUUGUUUGCUGUCUCUGAUAUGUAACUGCUUUCUCACCUACAGUUACUCUUUUUCUUUUUCUUUUUCAACAUUUACUAUCAGUAUCCAAAUUUAAUUAUUAUCAAAUGAAUGGUGUCUUGCCUUCAAGGACCAUCAGAGCUGCUUGCCUUCAAACUCUACCUGCCCAGCUCCAUCUCUGAAUCCUUUUACAAUUAACAUUAAGCUGGGCUGUCCUAAAUAUCUUUUAAUGAAAAGGAAAAGUUAUUUUCAUACAAUUUAUUUUGACCAUGCUUUCCCCUCUCCCAAUUCCCCCAGAUCCUCCCCACUUACCCACUCACCAGCAUCCUGCCCUUUCUUUAUCUUAAAAAAAAAAGAAGAAGAAACACACACACAAAACCACAAAAAUCGCCGGGCAAUGGUGGUGCAUGCUUUUAAUCCCAGCACUUGGGAGGCAGAGGCAGGUGGGUUUCUGAGUUCGAGGCCAGCCUGGUCUACAGAGUGAGUUCCAGGACAGCCUGGGCUACACAGAGAAACCCUGUCUCGAAGAAAAAAAAAAAGAGUUCAAACAACAACAACAUCAACAAAACAAAAUCCAGUUCAUUUUGUGUUAGCCAUCUAUUCCCCAACAAGGGACUCUGACAGAGCAUCUCCUUAUCCACAAACAGUUGUCCUUUUAUCAGUCAUCCAGGCACCCUGAACAGCUAUCAGAGGGGACAGCCCAGACAUGAUGGAAAGUCAGUGGGAUUAAUUUCUUGUGGUGACACAUUUAGCCAGUCAGAUACAGUACAUUGCAGGACAGCAGGCAGACACAUUUCCAUCCUUUGAAUCUACACAGUCACAUAGAUAAGUGUUAUGGGUUUUUCCCAUGGGCUGCCCUGAAAUACUCGGUACUGUAGCCUGGAAAAAUGUCACACGAGGAGGAGAUAUUAUGAAACUUAGGGCAUUACAUUUAAUUGCAUAGCAAGCACAUAACCAGACAGCCAUCUCUCUGGUCCUUCACCUACUGUUUGUAUCCAUUUUAAAAGGAGUUUUGGCCUUUCCCUUGGAAUUUAUAACAUUCUUAGUUAGUCAUUAUGCACAUUUAUUGCUUGAAGAAUACUGCAAAAAUUUAGCCUUCACUUUCAAAUUUUGUACUUUUAUUGUAGUAUCUUUUGUUUUUUAACGUGUAAUAAAAACACAAAACAC
ensembl:lincRNA